AAACUUGGCUUUUUGACCCAAAUACGCUAUAUUAAAAGAGUCAGGAGCAAUCCUGACUAUGACGAUAAACGCGCUGCGGAAUAGGCGAUACGGACCCGGGGGCGGUACCCGGCGGCUCCACCAGCCUUCGCCGUGAUAACGGCAAGGCUGUCACGCCGAAGCUCCUUUUGGAGCGAAGGCGGACUGGUGCGACGUAGAACUCUGAGGCUUCGGCUCGGCGAGCCAUCUCUUUAGAGCAAUGCGGCGAAGACUAGUGGGGCCGAAAUAGGAUCGACGUGCGUAGUAAAGGUGGUUGCUUUCGUCCGGCAUUGUACCGCCGUUAUCGGGCUACUUUUACAAAUGCUAACGACAACGCACCCGCAAGGGUCGAACUCCGUCUCGCCGCUUAAUCGCGACCUGACGAGUUAGCAAUACAAUCCCCUGACCAGCAAUGGACAGGGUGGGGCGUGGGGGCAGGCCUAGCAACAGAACUGCCCCCAUU
rnacentral:tmRNA from 1 species